GAUGAACGCUGGCGGCGUGCCUAACACAUGCAAGUCGAACGAGAAAGCCCUUCGGGGUGAGUACAGUGGCGAACGGGUGAGUAACACGUGGGCAACCUGCCCCAGAGAGCGGGACAACCCGGGGAAACCCGGGCUAAUACCGCAUGAUGCGUCUCCGCAUAAGCGGAGCCGCCAAAAGGUAGCUUCGGCCUCCGCUCUGGGAUGGGCCCGCGCCGGAUUAGCUAGUUGGUUGGGUAAUGGCCCACCAAGGCGACGAUCCGUAGCUGGUCUGAGAGGACGAUCAGCCACACUGGGACUGAGACACGGCCCAGACUCCUACGGGAGGCAGCAGUGGGGAAUCUUGCGCAAUGGGCGAAAGCCUGACGCAGCAACGCCGCGUGGGGGAAGAAGGCCUUCGGGUUGUAAACCUCUUUCAGUAGGGACGAAGCUUCCGGGGUUAAUAGCCUACGGGGUGACGGUACCUACAGAAGAAGCCCCGGCUAACUACGUG
rnacentral:rRNA from 1 species